rnacentral:rRNA from 1 species
GUGUCAGCAGCCGCGGUAAUACCAGCACCCCGAGUGGUCGGGACGAUUAUUGGGCCUAAAGCAUCCGUAGCCGGUCAUGCAAGUCCUCCGUUAAAUCCACCUGCUUAACAGAUGGGCUGCGGAGGAUACUACAAGGCUAGGAGGCGGAAGAGGCAAGCGGUACUCAGUGGGUAGGGGUAAAAUCCUCUGAUCCAUUGAAGACCACCAGUGGCGAAGGCGGCUUGCCAAUACGCGCUCGACGGUGAGGGAUGAAAGCUGGGGGAGCAAACCGGAUUAGAAACCCUAGUAGUCC